rnacentral:tRNA from 1 species
ACCUGGCUGGCUCAGUCUUUGGAGCAUGUGACUUUGAUCUCAGGGUUGUGAGUUCAAGCCCCACGUUGGGUG